AAAGGGGACUGGUGAAUGUCUCAGUACCCAGGACCAGGUGGGUCUCCAGCCUGGUUUCUUCAGCCUGGUUUCUGCCCACAUAUUCAACUGUGACAUAUAUCUAAAGAAGCACCCAGGAAUCAAAUCCGAGUUCGUCUACAGCUGAUUCGGCAGGUACCAGGGCGUCCGCGAUGGUGAGUGAUAGCACCGCGAUGGUGGUAUUGCUCCAUAUGCCUGAGACCCUAACAAAAGCCUAAUUACAACUCAUAUGCCUGGAGCCAGGACAUGUGCAGGAUGGUGAUGUAACUUUCCUCUCUGGAAUGGGUCCUGCACAAAGGAAUGAUAGUAACAUAUUGCAAAGCCAGACACACAGCCAUGAUGGUCCAAGUUAUAUUGGGAUUCAGCCAAUAGAAGAUAUUUUGCCUGUCAUCCCUAAGCUUAGGACAAUAGACUCUGCCAAGAGAGGGGAUUAUUACAUAUUGCAGAGCCCAGCACCUAGGUGGAGUGACUCUCAUCUUUUUCUUCUACCCCGUAUAUAGCCAGCUUGGUGACCUACUAUUUGAGUCUAUACCCAGGCCCAGACCACAGAUGAAAUUGUGCAAUAUGUGGAACAAACACCUAAACAAUAUAUAACACCUUCCUUGGCUCUGUCUACAAAGGGCACUUUUAUAUAUCACUGGGACCAUCAACCAGGUGAUGUUAAUUAUCUUCCUGAAACCUGUCUACAAAGAGAGUUGUGUCGUAUACCUAGGCCCGUCAUGUAAGUGAUGUCAGUCCCUUCUACUGCCUUGGCCCUGCACUUACAGUGCAUUGUGACACAUAACAAGGUACUGCACACAGACGAUGUGAUUCUCCUUUUUGGGUUCUGCCAAAAGGAAGCAUUGUAAUAAAUCGCUUGGCUCAGUA
rnacentral:lncRNA from 1 species